rnacentral:rRNA from 1 species
GUGGGGAAUAUUGGACAAUGGGCGCAAGCCUGAUCCAGCCAUGCCGCGUGAGUGAUGAAGGCCUUCGGGUUGUAAACUGCUUUUGUACGGAACGAAACGGUCCUGGUUAAUACCUGGGGCUAAUGACGGUACCGUAAGAAUAAGCACCGGCUAACUACGUGCCAGCAGCCGCGGUAAUACGUAGGGUGCGAGCGUUAAUCGGAAUUACUGGGCGUAAAGAGGGCGCAGGCGGUGCUGUAAGACAGGCGUGAAAUCCCCGGGCUCAACCUGGGAAUUGCGCUUGUGACUGCAGUGCUGGAGUACGGCAGAGGGGGAUGGAAUUCCGCGUGUAGCAGUGAAAUGCGUAGAUAUGCGGAGGAACACCGAUGGCGAAGGCAGUCCCCUGGGCCUGUACUGACGCUCAUGCACGAAAGCGUGGGGAGCAAACAGGAUUAGAAACCCGAGUAGUCC